rnacentral:rRNA from 1 species
UGCAAGUCGAACGGUAACAUUUCUAGCUUGCUAGAAGAUGACGAGUGGCGGACGGGUGAGUAAUGCUUGGGAACUUGCCUUUGCGAGGGGGAUAACAGUUGGAAACGACUGCUAAUACCGCAUAAUGUCUUCGGACCAAACGGGGCUUAGGCUCCGGCGCAAAGAGAGGCCCAAGUGAGAUUAGCUAGUUGGUAAGGUAACGGCUUACCAAGGCGACGAUCUCUAGCUGUUCUGAGAGGAAGAUCAGCCACACUGGGACUGAGACACGGCCCAGACUCCUACGGGAGGCAGCAGUGGGGAAUAUUGCACAAUGGGGGAAACCCUGAUGCAGCCAUGCCGCGUGUGUGAAGAAGGCCUUCGGGUUGUAAAGCACUUUCAGUUGUGAGGAAAAGUUAGUAGUUAAUACCUGCUAGCCGUGACGUNAAUAACA